rnacentral:rRNA from 1 species
GACGAACGCUGGCGGCGUGCUUAACACAUGCAAGUCGAACGGAAAGGCCCUGCUUUUGUGGGGUGCUCGAGUGGCGAACGGGUGAGUAGCACGUGAGUAACCUGCCCUUGACUUUGGGAUAACUUCAGGAAACUGGGGCUAAUACCGGAUAGGAGCUCCUGCUGCAUGGUGGGGGUUGGAAAGUUUCGGCGGUUGGGGAUGGACUCGCGGCUUAUCAGCUUGUUGGUGGGGUAGUGGCUUACCAAGGCUUUGACGGGUAGCCGGCCUGAGAGGGUGACCGGCCACAUUGGGACUGAGAUACGGCCCAGACUCCUACGGGAGGCAGCAGUGGGGAAUAUUGCACAAUGGGCGGAAGCCUGAUGCAGCAACGCCGCGUGCGGGAUGACGGCCUUCGGGUUGUAAACCGCUUUCGCCUGUGACGAAGCGUGAGUGACGGUAAUGGGUAAAGAAGCACCGGCUAACUACGUGCCAGCAGCCGCGGUGAUACGUAGGGUGCGAGCGUUGUCCGGAUUUAUUGGGCGUAAAGGGCUCGUAGGUGGUUGAUCGCGUCGGAAGUGUAAUCUUGGGGCUUAACCCUGAGCGUGCUUUCGAUACGGGUUGACUUGAGGAAGGUAGGGGAGAAUGGAAUUCCUGGUGGAGCGGUGGAAUGCGCAGAUAUCAGGAGGAACACCAGUGGCGAAGGCGGUUCUCUGGGCCUUUCCUGACGCUGAGGAGCGAAAGCGUGGGGAGCGAACAGGCUUAGAUACCCUGGUAGUCCACGCUGUAAACGGUGGGUACUGGGUGUGGGGUCCAUUCCACGGGUUCCGUGCCGUAGCUAACGCUUUAAGUACCCCGCCUGGGGAGUACGGCCGCAAGGCUAAAACUCAAAGGAAUUGACGGGGCCCCGCACAAGCGGCGGAGCAUGCGGAUUAAUUCGAUGCAACGCGUAGAACCUUACCUGGGUUUGACAUGGAUCGGGAGUGCUCAGAGAUGGGUGUGCCUCUUUUGGGGUCGGUUCACAGGUGGUGCAUGGCUGUCGUCAGCUCGUGUCGUGAGAUGUUGGGUUAAGUCCCGCAACGAGCGCAACCCUUGUUCACUGUUGCCAGCACGUUAUGGUGGGGACUCAGUGGAGACCGCCGGGGUCAACUCGGAGGAAGGUGGGGAUGACGUCAAGUCAUCAUGCCCCUUAUGUCCAGGGCUUCACGCAUGCUACAAUGGCUGGUACAGAGAGUGGCGAGCCUGUGAGGGUGAGCGAAUCUCGGAAAGCCGGUCUCAGUUCGGAUUGGGGUCUGCAACUCGACCUCAUGAAGUCGGAGUCGCUAGUAAUCGCAGAUCAGCAACGCUGCGGUGAAUACGUUCCCGGG